rnacentral:lncRNA from 1 species
AUGAUUGCCAUUCUAACUGGUGUGAGAUGGUAUCUCAUUGUGGUUUUGAUUUGCAUUUCUCUGAUGGCCAGUGAUGGUGAGCAUUUUUUCAUGUGUUUUUUGGCUGCAUAAAUGUCUUCUUUUGAGAAGUGUCUGUUCAUGUCCUUUGCCCACUUUUUGAUGGGUUGUUUGUUUUGUUCUUGUAAAUUUGUUUGAGUUCAUUGUAGAUUCUGGAUAUUAGCCCUUUGUCAGAUGAGUAGGUUGCAAAAAUUUUCUCCUGUUUUGUAGGUUGCCUGUUCAGGCUGAUGGUAGUUUCUUUUGCUGUGCAGAAACUCUUUAGUUUAAUGAGAUCCCAUUUGUCAAUGUUGGCUUUUGUUGCCAUUGCUUUUGGUGUUUUAGACAUGAAGUCCUUGCCCAUGCCUAUGUCCUGAAUGGUAAUGCCUAGGUUUUCUUCUAGGGUUUUUAUGGUUUUAGGUCUAAUGUUUAAGUCUUUAAUCCAUCUUGAAUUAAUUUUUGUAUAAGGUGUAAGGAAGGGAUCCAGUUUCAGCUUUCUCCAUAUGGCUAGCCAGUUUUCCCAGCACCAUUUAUUAAAUAGGGAAUCCUUUCCCCAUUGCUUGUUUUUCUCAGAUUUGUCAAAGAUCAGACAGUUGUAGAUAUGCGGUGCUAUUUCUGAGGGCUCUGUUCUGUUCCAUUGAUCUAUAUCUCUGUUUUGGUACCAGUACCAUGCUGUUUUGGUUACUGUAGCCUUGUAGUAUAGUUUGAAGUCAGGUAGCAUGAUGCCUCCAGCUUUGUUCUUUUGGCUUAGGAUUGACUUGGUGAUGCGGGCUCUGUUUUGGUUCCAUAUGAACUUUAAAGUAGUUUUUUCCAAUUCUGUGAAGAAAGUCAUUGGUAGCUUGAUGGGGAUGGCAUUGGAUCUAUAAAUUACCUUGGGCAGUAUGGCCAUUUUCACGAUAUUGAUUCUUCCUACCCAUGAGGAUGGAAUGUUCUUCCAUUUGUUUGUAUCCUCUUUUAUUUCAUUGAGCAGUGGUUUGUAGUUCUCUUUGAAGAGGUCCUUCACGUCCAUUGUAAGUUGGAUUCCUAAGUAUUUUAUUCUCUUUGAAGCAAUUGUGAAUGGGAGUUAACUCAUGAUUUGGCUCUCUGUUUGUCUGUUAUUGGUGUUUAAGAAUGCUUGUGAUUUUUGCACAUUGAUUUUAUAUCCUGAGACUUUGCUGAAGUUGCUUAUCAGCUGAAGGAGAUUUUGGGCUGAGACAAUGGGGUUUUCUAGAUAUACAAUCAUGUCAUCUGCAAACAGGGACAAUUUGACUUCCUCUUUUCCUAAUUGAAUACCCUUUACUUCCUUCUCCUGCCUAAUUGCCCUGGCCAGAACUUCCAACACUAUGUUGAAUAUGAGUGGUGAGAGAGGGCAUCCUUGUCUUGUGCCCGUUUUCAAAGGGAAUGCUUCCAGUUUUUGCCCAUUCAGUAUGAUAUUGGCUGUGGGUUUGUCAUAGAUAGCUCUUAUUAUUUUGAGAUACAUCCCAUCAAUACCUAAUUUAUUGAGAGUUUUUAGCAUGAAGUGUUGUUGAAUUUUGUCAAAGGCCUUUUCUGCAUCUAUUGAGAUAAUCAUGUGGUUUUUGUCUUUGGUUCUGUUUAUAUGCUGGAUUACAUUUAUUGAUUUGUGUCUAUUGAACCAGCCUUGCAUCCCAGGGAUGAAGGCCACUUGAUCAUGGUGGAUAAGCUUUUUGAUGUGCUGCUGGAUUCGGUUUGCCAGUAUUUUAUUGAGGAUUUUUGCAUCAAUGUUCAUCAAGGAUAUUGGUCUAAAAUUCUCUUUUUUGUUUGUGUAAGCCUAGAAAAUUUUUGAAGUUUCUGCCUUUCCAGCAGGUAAGGUUUGACCUUAGAAAUAUUCUCAUUGGAUUUGGACUAUCAAAAAAAGGAGAAGCCAGUGUUAUUUGGCAGCAGUUUCUGGCAGCAAGUAAGAGUCAGCAGUGAGUCAAUAUGCGAUUUGACCAGUGGCUUCUGGGCACCCUGAGAAUUGUGAGCCUCAUUGCUGAAGAUACCCAUGAUCAUUGAUCUUGGGUAUUUUCUGUCGUUAUAACACAAUCUCAUUGGUACAGCGAUCAGUAAGAUGAUGUGAGAAACAUGUGAAAGUAGAACAAAUGAAAUUUAAUGAAAAUUUGAGGUAAGAAGAGGAAAAGAAGCAGUAAGAGAUGAACCCUGGGCUUAUGGUUUGGCAAAUUAGGUAACUCAGCAAAUAAAUGAUUAGAUGGAAAGCAAGUUUGACUGCAGGAAAAAGACAAAUCUUUCAGUUUUUGAAGCUUGAUUUUUAUGAGCAGUCAGAUAUCCACAGAGAAAUGUAGCUGGGGCACAGGCAAAAAAACAAAAAUAGACAAAUGGAACUUAAUUAAACCAAAAAAAAAAUUGUGCACAGCAAAGUAAUAACAGAGUGAAAAGACAACCUACAGAAUGGGAAAAAAUAUUUGCAAACUAUGCAUCUGACAAAGGACAAAUAUCCAGGUUUUAUAAGAAACUCAAAAUAACUCAAUGAUAACAACAAUACAGGUAAUUCCAUUAAAAGUGGAAAAGGACAUGAAUAGGCAUUUUUCAAAAGAAGCCAUAUGAAUGGCCAACAAGUAUAUGAAAAAAUGCUUAACAUUACUAAUCAUCAGAGAAAUGCAAAUUAAAACUGCAAUGAGAUAUCCUCUUAUACCAGUCAGAAUGGCUAUUACUAAGAUGAUAAAAAAUAACAUAUGUUGGCAAGGAUGUGGAGAAAAGGGAACUCUUACAAAGAUUGAUGGGAAUGUAAAUUAGUGCAGCCUCUAUGGAAAAUCCUAUGAAGAUUUCUCAAAGAACAAAAAUAAACUACCCUUUGAUCCAGCAAUACCCUACUAGUGAAGAGGAAAGAAAGAAAAGAAAUCAUUGAAAAGGAAAGAAGGAAAAGAAGUCACUAAUAAUUUAAAGAAAUCAUUAAAAUCAUUAAUUAUUAAAUCAUUUAAAUAAAUAAUUAAAUAAAAAAGAUAUGUACCUGUACUCAUAUGCUCAUCACA